rnacentral:rRNA from 1 species
AUUGAACGCUGGCGGCAUGCCUUACACAUGCAAGUCGAACGGUAACAGGUCUUCGGAUGCUGACGAGUGGCGAACGGGUGAGUAAUACAUCGGAACGUGCCUAGUAGUGGGGGAUAACUACUCGAAAGAGUGGCUAAUACCGCAUGAGAUCUACGGAUGAAAGCAGGGGAUCGCAAGACCUUGUGCUACUAGAGCGGCCGAUGGCAGAUUAGGUAGUUGGUGGGAUAAAAGCUUACCAAGCCGACGAUCUGUAGCUGGUCUGAGAGGACGAUCAGCGACACUGGGACUGAGACACGGCCCAGACUCCUACGGGAGGCAGCAGUGGGGAAUUUUGGACAAUGGGCGCAAGCCUGAUCCAGCAAUGCCGCGUGCAGGAUGAAGGCCUUCGGGUUGUAAACUGCUUUUGUACGGAACGAAAAGCCCUGGGUUAAUACCCUGGGGUCAUGACGGUACCCACAGAAGAAGCCCCGGCUAACUUCGUGCCAGCCGCCGCCGUAACAC